rfam:Cyanophage S-RIM32 isolate RW_108_0702, complete genome.
GUCGUUGUGGCGGAAUUGGUAGACGCGCUGGGUUUAGGUUCCAGUGAAGUAAUUCGUGGAGGUUCAAGUCCUCUCAGCGACA